rnacentral:rRNA from 1 species
CAGCCGUAAACUAUGCGCGUUAGGUGUAUCGGUGACCACGAGUUACCGAGGUGCCGAAGGGAAACCGUGAAACGUGCCGCCUGGGAAGUACGGUCGCAAGGCUGAAACUUAAAGGAAUUGGCGGGGGGAGGCACCACAACAGGUGGAGCCUGCGGUUUAAUUGGACUCAACGCCGGGAAGCUCACCGGAUAAGACAGCGGAAUGAUUGCCGGGCUGAAGACUCUGCAUGACUAGCUGAGAGGAGGUGCAUGGCGUAGACGUCU